AACGAACGCUGGCGGCAGGCUUAACACAUGCAAGUCGAACGCCCCGCAAGGGGAGUGGCAGACGGGUGAGUAACGCGUGGGAACGUGCCCUUCGCUUCGGAAUAGCCCCGGGAAACUGGGAGUAAUACCGAAUACGCCGUAUUGGGAAAGAUUUAUCGGCGAAGGAUCGGCCCGCGUUAGAUUAGCUAGUUGGCGGUGUAAUGGACCACCAAGGCUACGAUCUAUAGCGGGUCUGAGAGGAUGAUCAGCCACACUGGGACUGAGACACGGCCCAGACUCCUACGGGAGGCAGCAGUGGGGAAUCUUGGACAAUGGGCGCAAGCCUGAUCCAGCCAUGCCGCGUGAGUGAAGAAGGCCUUAGGGUUGUAAAACUCUUUCGCCGGAGAAGAUAAUGACGGUAUCCGGAGAAGAAGCCCCGGCUAACUUCGUGCCAGCAGCCGCGGUAAAAC
rnacentral:rRNA from 1 species